rnacentral:rRNA from 1 species
CUGGUUGAUCCUGCCAGUAGUCAUAUGCUUGUCUCAAAGACUAAGCCAUGCAUGUCUAAGUAUAAACACGUUUAUAUGGUGAAACUGCGAAAGGCUCAUUAUAACAGUUAUAGUUUAAUUGAAGAUGCGUACCAAGUGGAUAACCGUGGUAAUUCUAGAGCUAAUACAAGACACGAGCGCGGCGUUGCCGCGGGUAGUUAUUAGAUUAAAACCAGACUGGGCAACCAGGAGCAGGGGAAUCAUGAUAAGCUUUACGGAUCGCAGGGGCGUUUCGCCGGCGAUGUAGCAAGUAAAUAUCUGACUUAUCAACUUUCGAUGGUAGGAUAGAGGCCUACCAUGGUUUCAACGGGUAACGGGGAAUAAGGGUUCGAUUCCGGAGAGGGAGCCUGAGAAACGGCUACCACAUCCAAGGAAGGCAGCAGGCGCGCAAAUUACCCAAUGUUGAUACAACGAGGUAGCGACGAGACAUAACGAUGCCGAUCCUUCGGGGUUGGUAAUCGUCAUGAGCACAAAGUAAACAUCUUAACGAGGAACAAUUGGAGGGCAAGUCUGGU